rnacentral:misc_RNA from 1 species
GACUGAGACUGUUGGAUAAGUAUGGUACAAAGCAUUCCAAUCUUGGGAUGGGAGGAUAGUACUUUGGAUCGUGGAAGGAUUAAUGAGAAAUGAGCAGGAAGCUGCCUAAAAAGAGAAAAGCUUUGGGGAAGAAGGAUACGCAAUGAGAUGCGAUACUUGGGCAUCUAGUCACCAUGAUUACAAUUACUAGAAGCUAUUUGGAUUUGGUUGGCUUUUUAAGAGAAUUUUUAGAGGAUAAGAGUGUUGUCAUUUCGAUAAACACAGUAAUGUUUUGACUACAACAUAUCACUACCAAACAAAUUUGAUUGUGAUUUGUCAUUAUAACAGUAUUCUUUAUCAAGAUGCUUGUCAAUUUUGGUGAGAAAAAGCUUCAUGGAAGGAUGUUAUUGUCAUUGGAGAUACCUGGGUAGGCAGAAAUUUAUGUUUUUGGAAUCAUUAUACUCCAGGUUGAGUCGCAGGGGAGAAACUCGAACAGGGCGGCCGUUGGCUCUGGCGGCGACUGAUUUGAUGGGAGACCAGAGUCCUGAUGAGGAGUGACGCUUGCGAGUCACAUCUAAAAUGUGCAAGUUGGCACCCACUUCACGUACGUGAUCAACCAUAGUUAACACAGUGUUUACUCUUAACAAGUGAAAAAACCCAGUAUUUUCGUUUUGUAAUCAUACAGCAUUUUCCUCUCUUUCUAGUCUACAACUAGUUCUAGUAUCGGCUUCCAAGUUUGUUAGAAGAGGCUUGUUUUAUGUCUAUGGCCCAUGGGCUAGUCAAUCUUCACAGAAGAGUAGAUCUUCCUCACAAACCACAAGCAUCCAUAGAAACCAGUUGACCCAGUUAAGACAAAGAAGGUGUAUGAUCCAAUUAACAUGUACCCCAAGUAAAGAAUGCCAGAAACCAGCUUUGUAAUUUCCAACUUGGUGAAGAAAUAGAAGACCGAGUAUAGGAAGAGGUAGAGAGCAGAAGAACCUGCAGUCAAGUAGGAUCUCCACCACCAGUUAUAAUCUUCAUUGCAUAGCUGAAAGUAGCAGAGCACGAUUGUUAUCUCAACACAAGUGAUUAUUAGUAUAAUAAAGACUAGGAAGAUGAAACCGAACAUGUAAUAGAACUGGUUUAGCCAUAUAGAUGUCAACAUGAAGAAUAGCUCAAUGAACACUGCUCCAAAUGGAAGUAUGCCUCCAAUAAGAAUGCAGAAUAUUGGUUUUGUAUACCAUGUCUGCAAAGGAAUCUGCCUUGGGAUUUUUUUAGUUUUGACAGGAUCUUCAAUUGCUGGCUUUCUGAAACCCACAAAACUGCCAAUGAAAACCAAUGGCACUGAUAUCCCAAACCACAAGAACACCAGAGCAAACAUUGUUCCAAAAGGAACUGCUCCAGAAGAUUUCUCACCCCAAAUUAGUGCAUUCAGUACAAAGUAAAUGGUAAAAAGUAUAGCAGGGAAUGUGAAGGCUGUUUUCAAGGUGACCCUCUUCCACUGUGUGCCUUUGAACAUCUUGUACAAACGAGCUGACGAGUAUCCUGCAAAUAAGCCCAUGAAAACCCAUAAAAGGACCAUGGCUGUCAUCAGGCCACCACGGUUGGCCGGUGAGAGGAAACCCAACAAUGCAAAAAUCAUUGCGACAAGAGUCAUUCCCAAAACUUGGAUGCCUGUCCCAGCAUACACACACAAUAAACUGGAAUUAGGAGGCGGACGGAAAACAUCCCCAUGAACUAAUUUCCAGCCUGUUUCUUCCAAGGCCUCAUCUUGGGUAUCCAGCUGAUUGUAGCUUGUAAUGUCCUUGUAGAGUGUUCUCAUCAUAAUCAUGGCAACCAUGCCCGAAAGAAACAGAACAAUAAUUAAAGAGUUAAUAAUGGAGAACCAAUGAAUCUGACUGUCGUUCAUAAGAAGGUACGUGUCCCAGCGCGAAGCCCAUUUGAUUUCGCUGGACUCAAAGGAGACAUCAUAUGUAAACACAAUCUCUUCACCAAUAGCUAUCUGUUCUGUAACAGCAUUAUCCUGAAUUUGGGAAUUGCAUGUUGUCAACCGAGUGUUGUUCUCAUCCCAAUUCUUGUACUCAUGGUUAAUACUGAUUGGAUUGACUUCAAAACCAACAAUGCGAGCAGAAUCAGUGACAGGAUCCACAUGAUACUUGACUUUGAAGCUCAGAUGGUUAUUGAUAAAAUAUUUAUCCUCUCUGCUUUUGAACCCAACUGGAAACCCAUGCUCAUAAAGUUGUGAUUGGCUAAGAACCGCAACGGGAAGGUUGUCCAGAAUCAUGUUAACACGAUACUGAUCAUCAAUCUUCUCCUUGAAACUCCCGGCAGAUUCGGCAUCUAGCGUUACCCGACAGGCGACUUGGCAGAACAGUUCCAUUCUCAUUUUAAAAAAGUAGACAGAAUUCUCAAUGCGAUCGCCUCGAAGAACUUCUCCAAGAUUUUCAGCGCUGUUGAUAAUUUUUGGAGGCUUACAGUAGUUGAGAAAAUAGUAAUGAUACGGAAGCUGUGUCUUGGUGGAGGAGAGCUUGUUAACCUUGACAUGGAGAGGAUCUCCCGUUUGGAAAUCGCGAGGUGCAACCCCAGGGAGAUAGAAAGAGUGGACGACAGAUGAUAGCAGCAGAGGGACAACAAAAAGAAGAAGGAGAACAGGAGAAGCCAUAGCCGAAGCUUAAUUCAAAUGUGUGAUGGAUCCACACGCUUAGGCAGUAUAAGAGGAGACUGGAG